rnacentral:rRNA from 1 species
CCUACGGGAGGCUGCAGUGGGGAAUAUUGGACAAUGGGGGGAACCCUGAUCCAGCCAUGCCGCGUGUGUGAAGAAGGCCCUCGGGUUGUAAAGCACUUUCAGUGAGGAAGAACGCCUGGUGGUUAAUACCCAUCAGGAAAGACAUCACUCACAGAAGAAGCACCGGCUAACUCCGUGCCAGCAGCCGCGGUAAUACGGAGGGUGCGAGCGUUAAUCGGAAUUACUGGGCGUAAAGCGCGCGUAGGUGGCUUGAUAAGCCGGUUGUGAAAGCCCCGGGCUCAACCUGGGAACGGCAUCCGGAACUGGCAAGCUAGAGUGCAGGAGAGGAAGGUAGAAUUCCCGGUGUAGCGGUGAAAUGCGUAGAGAUCGGGAGGAAUACCAGUGGCGAAGGCGGCCUUCUGGACUGACACUGACACUGAGGUGCGAAAGCGUGGGUAGCAAACAGGAUUAGAUACCCCGGUAGUC